CCCUCUAUCAGUCGAUCCCCAAUUCACUAACCCAAUUCACUAAUCCCAGAUCCCAAUUCAUUAAUCGUUUGGGUGCUGCUUAAAGAGGAAGGUCAGAGAGGUUUCAAGGAGGAGCAUGAUAAGAAGUUUCAAGGUGACGCAUUUACUGACAGGUCACUUGUUCGACAAUUACCUUGUUCCUGUGGUUCUUCAUUAAAAGCCACAGGUUCUUAUGAAAGAUUGUCUACUCCUAUACAAGCUGAUGAGCGGUUUCAUGGUUUCAACUGAAUGGUGUUGAAUUGCCUCACGUGCCCAGCCCUAAUAAUAACCGCUCCACAGGUCCCCUCAUUCAUGUAUAUCAUUGUCCUUGGUUGGGAUGGAUGUUUAUAUAUCCACUACUGAUCACUGUGAUCCACA